GACGUAGGGCGCGAGCGUUGUCCGGAUUUAUUGGGCGUAAAGAGCUCGUAGGCGGCUCAUUGCGUCAACCGUGAAAACCUGCAGCUUAACUGUGGGCUUGCGGUUGAUACGGGUGGGCUGGAGUUCGGUAGGGGAGACUGGAAUUCCUGGUGUAGCGGUGAAAUGCGCAGAUAUCAGGAGGAACACCGGUGGCGAAGGCGGGUCUCUGGGCCGAUACUGACGCUGAGGCGCGAAAGCCAGGGGAGCAAACGGG
rnacentral:rRNA from 1 species